GCAGACUGGGCAAAUAUAAUGAGGCCCAACUGUUCCACUCCGGGUUACUUUGUAAAGACAGGAGGACGCAGGUUCACCCGAAACUGGAACAAAGACAUCUUAAGAGUUAACGGCAUCGCUGUACGGAGGGACUGGAGGAAGAGCAGAACGCAUACUGCAAUUGGAUGCGUAAAGCUUUGGUCACGGGGGUGUGUAGGGAGGGAUGGGGAAGGUGAACCAAAAAAAGCGGAUCUGAUUGAAACGAGAAGAACUCUGCGGCCGAGAUUGAGCGAAAGCGCCUCUCUCCCCCUCUGUGUGUGGAAUGAGUGGCCGGGCCAGCCUAGGAGCUGCUGAUUGGCCAGUGCGCCUAGAUUAGGGCUGGCCCUUACAGUCAUCACAUCCAUUCCGUGGCUACUCCAGUGACCUCCUCUCCGCCCUUCGGAAUUUCUCCAAGUUCCAGCCUCUCCCGCCACAAAUCCUCCUCUGUGUCUCCCCACCCCCGCACCCCAUCCCAUCCCAUUCACUCUGUCUCUCUCACACACACACAGACCCCUGUUGGAUAAUAAACAACAGCCAGAGGCAAUCUGUAACAUACAAGAGAGGGGGGAGGGGCGAAUCCCCGUGGCCAGCGCAGCUUUCUGAAAUACUAACAUUUUCAGUAGGCACGGAGUAUAGGUUAAUCAAUACGAUGUACUUGCAGCAAUUUCCGCCUCCACCCCUUUUAAUUUGAAUCUCUUCCACCACCACCCCCCCCCCCAAACACAAACAUAAGUUAUAACUUAUUUCUGAGGGCAAUUGUGGCGGGCUGCUGGCUGUAAUUUUCACGAAGUGAUUGAAAUCUUUUCUCGUCCGGGGUGGGGUGCAUCAAGUUCACCACAACAUGGAAACUCCACGUGUUCGCCAGAAUUCUGCAAAAUGCAUUCUGGCCAAGUGCGAGAUUACGUCUGAACAUCACCCAGUCCCAAAAAGAAAGCCCUUGUCACCGGAAAGGGGAUUGCUGAAGGACAAAGUUUAAAGGAGAAACGAAGAGGAGCGGUUGUUCGGGAUUGCACGGAGAAAUAAGAUGGCUUUUCUUUUUCUUACUUUCAAAAGUGUGAAUGGACGGAAGACAGCUGGAUGGUUGUGGCCCAAGACGGGAAGGAUUCUGCAAAGUGUGAAGGAGAAGGAAAGAGCGGGUGAAGAAUCGUGAAAAUAAAUCGGACGUGCUGUGAAUUGCAUUUUGAUUAAAACAAAAGAGAGGCACUCGAGGCGAAAAUGUGACUAAGGUGAAAUGCGGUUAGAGUCCGGCAAACAAGUGAGAAAAUGGAAGGAAGCCCAGAGCUGACGAGGGGGAAUGAAUUGCGGGCAAAGGCUUACCAGACUACAUAAAAGAUGGAGAACUUCUGUAACUGUCCUGAAAUACGUACAAACCAUUGUUAAACGCGGAGGUUGUUCAAUAUUAUUUACACCGCGUUCACGCAGUUUGAAACAAGAAUCGAGAUUGUCUUGACAAUAAAGGUGGACCAUGUACACACAGCUGCGGGGAUGUUGUCUUCACUCUGUUUAAUUUGUUUUGUCAUUGCUGUUAAUUUAUCGUUUUGAUUGAUAAUAUACAUUUUUAUUUUAAAAACA